rnacentral:tRNA from 1 species
CAUUAGAUGGCCGAAAGUAAGCAAUGGAAUUUUAAAUCAUUUUAUGACUCAGUCACGCAUGUCUCUAAUGA